CCUACGGGAGGCAGCAGUGGGGAAUAUUGGACAAUGGGCGCAAGCCUGAUCCAGCCAUGCCGCGUGAGUGAUGAAGGCCCUAGGGUUGUAAAGCUCUUUCACCGGUGAAGAUAAUGACGGUAACCGGAGAAGAAGCCCCGGCUAACUUCGUGCCAGCAGCCGCGGUAAUACGAAGGGGGCUAGCGUUGUUCGGAUUUACUGGGCGUAAAGCGCACGUAGGCGGACUAUUAAGUCAGGGGUGAAAUCCCGGGGCUCAACCCGGGAACUGCCUUUGAUACGGGUAGUCUUGAGUGCGAGAGAGGUGAGUGGAAUUCCGAGUGUAGGGGUGAAAUUCGUAGAUAUUCGGAGGAACCCCAGUGGCGAAGGCGGCUCACUGGCUCGAUACUGACGCUGAGGCGCGAAAGCGGGGGGAGCAAACCGGAUUAGAUACCCCGGUAGU
rnacentral:rRNA from 1 species